GGUUUGGUGGUCUAGUAGUAUGAUUCACCCUUAGGGCAAGUAACUAAGCAUGGGUGAGGUCCCGGGUUCAAUUCCCGGCCAGACCC